CUCUGGCUGGCUGUCAUCAUGCUGGAGAAACCUGGACACUGACAUCACGGGCAGUCAUGGGAGGAAGUGGUAAUGUACAUCCACAGCCCAAGGUGUCACUCCUCCCAGAUGGACGCUUUGUGCUGAGCAAGUGGAUGCUGCUGCCUCACAAGAAGAUUCAGCAGGUCUGCAGCCCCAGCCACAGACCCUGUCCCAUAUUCCCGCAGGACAGUGACAUGCUGGGCCCUCCCUCACUGUGAGUGUGGAGUGAACAAGGCCCACGAUAACGUCAGGGGCUCAGUGUAUUGAGCAACACCUAAGCCUGCGCUGAGGGACCUCUGACCUACAGGUUUACCAGCUGGACCUCAGCAUGCAGGCUGAGGUGGAAGAAAGGGUACAGGCCAUGGUGGAAAGGUCCAGUCUGCUUUCCCAACGUCUAGUGAGUACAGGACAGGUUUCCUCAGGUCUCCACUCGAGUCUCCCUGUCAGCUUCGCCCCAGUACCACCACCCACCUACUCCCAGGAGGCAAGUCUGUUGCUGGUUGAGUCCCUGGCCAUGUGUUAUCUCUCAGGCCUGCUCGCUACCUGGCCACCGUACCCAGCCUCUCUGGCCAUCCUCUGCAUUACUUCUUUCCCGUAAUUUCAUCUCUCUGGUGGAUUAUUAUCUCCAUGACUGUCAUCAGCUCCUCACCUGGCUGGGGACAGGCAGAAGGACAGAUCUGGGGAGAGAAAUCCACUUCCUCCUGGGCUCCCUCUGAACUUGUGUGGGAGUGACUGCGUCUACCUGCUGUGUGUUUAGCUUCUUAGCAACAACAAUGAAUUCUUCAAAAACAAAAAAGGACCCUUUGCAGAGAUAUUCCCGCACCAAGUUAACUGAAGACGCAAUGCAGCCCAGCUUUGGAGAUUGAGGGGCAGUGCUGGCUAUGGUGUGGUCUGCUCCAAUCUACAGGUUCUGAGGACCUAUAUUUUCCUGCCCCCAGGUCACAAGUCCACCAGAAAACCCAAGGCCACUCUGCUUAGAGAAGCCCAACCUGAAACAUCUGAGAAACCAGGAGAGCACAGCAGCUCUGAAAACCACCUUCUGCAUCUGGAACUGGCAAGAAAUGGCCAAUCAGAGAGCACACUGCUGGGGAUGGCAGAAAAAUCAAGUCAUGAUGAAGAGGAGACAGACAUACAGGAGGCAUAAAGUGACCUGCUGUUUCUGGGCUGUCCCUGCCCAGACAGGAGGUUUUCCUUGGUUUGUGAAAAUUCUAUUAAAGAGGUCCUGGAUUCCAGACCUCCAACUGCUGCCAGCAAAGAACCCUCAGACUGCCUCUUCCUGGAGCCCCAGAGCCAUGAUGACCACUGUGAGAAGCCCCAGCACUGCCCAUGUGGAUGACGGGGCAUUGUGGGAAGGUUGACCAGCAGCUGGUUUCUGUCCACUGCGCCGGUUUAUGUUAAUUGCAGAUAUUUUCAUCGUAUUGUGUUACUCCAUCCAUCUUUGUGAACGGGCCGUCUUGUAAAAUUCUUUUAAUUAUGUUAUUUUUUCUUGCCUAUCUUCAUCAUCUACAAUUAUUUAUAAUAUCAUUGUCCUUGUUUCAAAUGCUGGGAAUAAACAUUGUUGUAACAGUU